rnacentral:rRNA from 1 species
UACGAAGGGGGCUAACGUUGCUCGGAAUCACUGGGCGUAAAGCGCACGUAGGCGGAUUGUUAAGUCAGGGGUGAAAUCCUGGAGCUCAACUCCAGAACUGCCUUUGAUACUGGCGAUCUUGAAUCCGGGAGAGGUGAGUGGAACUGCGAGUGUAGAGGUGAAAUUCGUAGAUAUUCGCAAGAACACCAGUGGCGAAGGCGGCUCACUGGCCCGGUACUGACGCUGAGGUGCGAAAGCGUGGGGAGCAAACAGG